UACGUAGGGUGCAAGCGUUAAUCGGAAUUACUGGGCGUAAAGCGUGCGCAGGCGGUUUUGUAAGUCUGUUGUGAAAUCCCCGGGCUCAACCUGGGAAUGGCAAUGGAGACUGCGAAGGCUAGAGUUUGGCAGAGGGGGGUAGAAUUCCACGUGUAGCAGUGAAAUGCGUAGAUAUGUGGAGGAACACCGAUGGCGAAGGCAGCCCCCCUGGGUCAAAACUGACGCUCAUGCACGAAAGCGUGGGGAGCAAACAGG
rnacentral:rRNA from 1 species